GUAAUAAUAAUAAUAAUAAUAAUAAUAUGAAUAAUAAUAAUAAUAAUAAUAAUAAUAUGAAUAAUAAUAAUAAUAAUAAUAUGAAUAAUAAUAAUAAUAAUAAUAAUUUGUCAGAAUAUAAAGAUACAAAUGUACCAUCACUAGUGUCAUAUGUAUUAUGCCAUUAUAACAACGCUCACAAAAUACAUGAGAAAAACUACAAUGUAUUUAAUAAUAAACUUAUGUAUCCAUCAAACAAAAGUACAGAACAUGUAUAUAUAUCCGAUGGUAUGAGCUACAACAACAAUGUAUAUGGUAACACGUGUCAAAACAUAAGCGAAAACGCCCAUAUAGUUAGUAAUUAUAUCCAUGAAAAUAAUCAUAGUGCUGAUUCUUAUCCUUAUCAUAGUAGUGGAAUGGAUGAUAAACAAAUGACUUGUUUAAAUUAUAUUAAUGUAAACAGUUAUAAUAAAAAACACGAUAUAAAAAACAUUUCAGAAAAAACAAAAGAAAUUAAAAUGUUAAGCAACUAUAAAAAUGAAAAGUUAACAGACAUAUAUAAAACAAAAACAAAUACAAUAAAACAAAUGUUUUCACUUUUAAAAAAAUCAAAUGAAAAUAACAAAUAUAAACAAUCAUGUGAAAAUUUAAAAAAAAAAAAAAACAUAAAAGUUUAUUUGGAUAAUCAACAUGUUAAUAACGAAUUUUGUUUUAACUUACAACAAUGCAUGAAAUAUGUUGUAAAAGAUACCAACAAAACGGAAAGUGUAAAAAUGGAAAAUAACCCUACUUUGGAUAAAAGUAUAAAUGCAAAAAAUAUUGUAAUAAAUGAUCAUAUACCUACUGAAACUAACUACAUUUCUAAACUUUACAAAAUAAAUUUAUUAACAAACACUAGUGGAGAAUAUAAAAAUAUAUCAAGUCAUAAUUGUACAUACUACAACAAUAACAACAAUAACAACAAUAACAACAAAAACAAUAAUAAUUAUUGUAUAGCUUAUAUAAAAAAUAAUAAUAGUAUUAAUGGAUCAGUAAAAUUAGAUACACCACUGACAUAUAUACAUAGUAGUAAUAAUAAUAAUAAUAAUAAUAAUAACAGUAAUAAUAAUAAUAAUAAUAACAGUAGUAGUAGUAGUAAUAACAGUAGUAAUAAAAAAUAUGAAAUAAUGAAAUAUAUAAAUAAUGGUGCCAUAGUUAAAAAAUAUAUAAAUAAUUUUAAUUCCAAAAUUGAUAAUAACACUAGUAGUAAUAUGUAUAACAGUAGUAAUAUGUAUAACAGUAGUAAUAUGUAUAAUAAGUGUAAUAACAAACAAUGUUAUUGUCAUGCAUACUAUCCUUAUGUAACAUCUCAUAUAAAUAAAAAUUAUAGUCAUAUUGAUUUGAAUUCUACAUGUAAUAACACAAACAAUGAUCAUACUACGUGUCCAACAAUUUACUACAACAAAAUAAAAUAUGUUGUUUCUCUUCACAACUCAUUAAACAAUUAUGCUAUUAAUAACAUAUUAAUUAAUAAUAAUAAUAUUAGCUGUAGUAAUAGUAGCGGUAGCUUUAAUAAUAGUAGCGGUAGCUUUAGUAAUAGUAGCGGUAGCUUUAGUAAUAGUAGCGGUAUCUGUAGUAAUAGUAGCGGUAUCUGUAGUAAUAAUAAUAAUAAUGUUAGCUGCAGUAAUAAUAACAUUAGCUGUAGUAACAUUAACGACGCUAGCCUAGGAUUUGUGCAUACGAAUUAUGCAACAAACGUGAAUAGCUUAAUUGAUUUACCUACAUUUUUUAAAAAUACUAAUACGAUUAUUAAAAAUUGUAAUACUAGUUACGAUGUAAAUAAACAAAGAGUCGCAUACAAAGAUUUAUUAAUUAAGACAGAAUAAAAAUCUGUUCACUAUAUAUAUAUAUGUACAUAUUAUAGAAGCUAUAAUAAUGUGACACCUGUGAAAAACAAAUAUAUACCUUAACGAGCAAGAAAAAAAAAGAACAAAUCCAUUUUAUUAAAAUCAUAUAAUAAUUCAUUGAUAUAGUUUACCUUUUUUAUAUACCUUUAUAUGAUCAUUCAUAUGGUCAUUUAUAUUUUUUUUUUUUUUUUUUUUAUUUACCAUAAAAUGUCUCUAUUUGUCCGCCAUCAUAUAAAACAAAAUGUGUAUGUUUACAGUUUAGCAUUACUUUGUUACCAUUUACAUAUUUUGUCUUUUUAUAAUUCUAAUACACCAACAGUCCUAUGUGUUACAUGUAUAAUUAAAUUUUAACGAUGUGAUUUAUAUACGCACGCGUAUAUAUAUGUAUUUAUAUAUUUGUAUAUAUAUACCUACACAUACAUAUAACUACAUAUACCUACCUACAUAU
ensembl:lncRNA